rnacentral:tRNA from 1 species
GGAGGGGUGGCAGAGUGGUUGAUCGCGUCGGUUUCGAAAACCGAUUUGCCUGAAAGGGUAACGGGGGUUCGAAUCCCCCCCCCUCCGCCA